UAAAAACGGUACUCAGUUCGGAUUGAAGGCUGAAAUUCGCCUUCAUGAAGCUGGAAUUGCUAGUAAUGGCAGGUCAGCAUACUGCCGUGAAUACGUUCCCGGGCCUUGUACACACCGCCCGUCACACCAUGAGAGUUGGAGAUACCCGAAGCCUAUGAGCUAACUUUUAGAGGCAGUAGUCGAAGGUAGAAUCAAUGAUUGGGGUGAAGUCGUAACAAGGUAAC
rnacentral:rRNA from 1 species